ACGACACGACAUCGAUGGCGACACCGGGAAACCGGUGUGUGGAGGCAGUCUGACGAACGUCAGCCCGGCGAAAGCCGCGAACGGAUCAGAGAUCCGGGGCGCCUUGCAAGAACUCAACCAUUCGCCGCCCCGGUGCACAGAUGUCUGUCG
rnacentral:sRNA from 26 species